UGUGAUGUUGGCUCUGCAGAAAAACCAAUUGAUACCACAUUUAAAUUCCAUAAGGUUAUACACAUAUAUUUGGAGUAUUUAGAUAUAGAAUCUGGAAAGCUUUGUGAUGGUGAUGGAUUACCAAUUCGGCAAUUUACUGGAAGAUUCCGUCUUUUAUGGGGUUUAUACAGAGCUCAUAGUAAUGUUGAAGACAAUAUAGUUUUUCCUGAGUUGGAAUCCAAAGAGACACUUCAUAAUGUGAGCCUCUUUGGAAGAUAUUUGAAGAUAUUUCUUGUGCUCUCUCUCUCUGAGCUUUCUGUCAUUCAUGAAAGCCUUGCAUAA